AAGUUUUCGGAUGGAAGCUGGAUUGACUGAGUGGCGGACGGGUGAGUAACGCGUGGGUAACCUGCCUCACACUGGGGGACAACAGUUAGAAAUGACUGCUAAUACCGCAUAAGCGCACAGGACCGCAUGGUCUGGUGUGAAAAACUCCGGUGGUGUGAGAUGGACCCGCGUUUGAUUAGCUAGUUGGCAGGGUAACGGCCUACCAAAGCAACGAUCAGUAGCCGGCUUGAGAGAGUGAACGGCCACAUUGGGACUGAGACACGGCCCAAACUCC
rnacentral:rRNA from 1 species